GUCCGCAUGGCACAAUGGUUUGAACAUCAGAUUACAGUUCUGGAGACCAGGGUUGGAAUCCCCAUUUGGCCA